rnacentral:tRNA from 1 species
UGUGGCUCAGGGGUAGAGCACUUGCCUUGCAUGCAUGAGGCCCUGGGUUUGAUUCCUCAGCA